rnacentral:rRNA from 1 species
GAUGAACGCUGGCGGCGUGCCUAAUACAUGCAAGUCGAGCGAACGGACGAGAAGCUUGCUUCUCUGAUGUUAGCGGCGGACGGGUGAGUAACACGUGGAUAACCUACCUAUAAGACUGGGAUAACUUCGGGAAACCGUAGCUAAUACCGGAUAAUAUUUUGAACCGCAUGGUUCAAAAGUGAAAGACGGUCUUGCUGUCACUUAUAGAUGGAUCCGCGCUGCAUUAGCUAGUUGGUAAGGUAACGGCUUACCAAGGCAACGAUGCAUAGCCGACCUGAGAGGGUGAUCGGCCACACUGGAACUGAGACACGGUCCAGGCUCCUACGGGAGGCAGCGGUAGGGAAUCUUCCGCAAUGGGCGAAAGCCUGACGGAGCAACGCCGCGUGAGUGAUGAAGGUCUUCGGAUCGUAAAACUCUGUUAUUAGGGAAGAACAUAUGUGUAAGUAACUGUGCACAUCUUGACGGUACCUAAUCAGAAAGCCACGGCUAACUACGU